CCUACGGGUGGCAGCAGUGGGGAAUAUUGCACAAUGGGGGAAACCCUGAUGCAGCGACGCCGCGUGAGUGAAGAAGGAAUUCGGUAUGUAAAGCUCUAUCAGCAGGGAAGAAAAUGACGGUACCUGAGUAAGAAGCCCCGGCUAACUACGGGCCAGUAGCCGCGGUAAUACGUAGGGGGCAAGCGUUAUCCGGAUUUGCUGUGUGUAAAGGGAGCGUAGACGGCAGUGCAAGUCUGGAGUGAAAGGCGGGGGCUCAACCCCCGGACUGCUCUGGAAACUGUACGGCUGGAGUGCAGGAGAGGUAAGUGGAAUUCCUAGUGUAGCGGUGAAAUGCGUAGAUAUUAGGAGGAACACCAGUGGCGAAGGCGGCUUACUGGACUGUAACUGACGUUGAGGCUCGAAAGCGUGGGGAGCAAACAGGAUUAGAUACCCCAGUAGUC
rnacentral:rRNA from 1 species